AGUGAACGCUGGCGGCGUGCCUAAUACAUGCAAGUCGAACGGAAUUUAAAAGAGCUUGCUCUUUUAAAUUUAGUGGCGCACGAGUGAGUAAUAUAUAGCUAAUCUGCCCCUUGCUGGAGGACAACAGUUAGAAAUGACUGCUAAUACUCCAUACUCCUUUUUACCAUAAGAUAAAUCGGGAAAGAAUUUCGGCAAGGGAUGAGACUAUAUCGUAUCAGCUAGUCGGUGGGGUAACGGCCUACCGAGGCUAUGACGCGUAACUGGUCUGAGAGGAUGAUCAGUCACAUUGGAACUGAGACACGGUCCAAACUCCUACGGGAGGCAGCAGUAGGGAAUAUUGCGCAAUGGGGGAAACCCUGACGCAGCAACGCCGCGUGGAGGAUGACACUUUUCGGAGCGUAAACUCCUUUUGUUAGGGAAGA
rnacentral:rRNA from 1 species